rnacentral:rRNA from 1 species
AUGCACCUACCCGAGAACUCCAUUUCGUCGUGGGCUGACAUGUGCCACAAGUUUAUUGGCGCCUUCACUCGCGGUCAUCAGGAACCCGGCAGGCCCAGCGAUUUGCAGCUUCUCCAACAGAAGGAAGGAGAAAUCCUCCGUAAUUAUUUACAGAGAUUCAGCAAAAUUCAUAGGAAUAUCCCAAAUAUCCAUCCGGUAGCCAUGAUAGCUGCCUUCCAGUCCAAUGUGCGCAACCGUCGUAUUUGUUCCAAGAUGAAUGUGCGGUUGCCCAAGACUGUGAAUGAGCUUUACACAUUAGUGAAUAAGUGUGCUCAGAUGGAGGAGGGAAGGAGGUUGCCCAGAGAGGAAAUUGCACCAACAUCGAUUCAGAGGAUGAGGACGAAUCAACUAGUCAGAAGAUAA